GGACUGUAGACAAACUGUAGGGAGCAAGAAGACUCCUGCAGGGCAUUGAGUCUGCAAAGGUGCAAAAAGCAGGAGAAAGCUCUUCAGAACUUUUUGAAAGGUUCCAGUGCGCUGCGGAACUUACAACCUUUUAAGGUUCUCCCAUCCAUAUUGACUACACAUGACACCUACUGAAAACCACAAAAGUACAGAUUUCAAGCUCUUUGGGUCAGGAACUGACUUUUACGAGGGAAGACCUCAUCCUGUACCUCCCCAGCCUUUCAGGCCGGUGUUAUUGGGGGCAACAGUGCAAUGGGGAUAGCUAUGAAAGUGAUUCCAAUUGGGAGUGGAGGGGAUUAAAGCCCACCUUGGAACCGGAGCAGUGAUGGCCAGAGACGAGCACUUCAGGAAAAUCCUCCACAGAUAUGCACCCCUUUCAUGCAUGACAUCAGAAUGCACCUUCUCUCUGCUGCACCCCGCUGCACCAAACCAAGCCAGGCCUAGUGCAGCAAUAAAAGACACAAGAUGGCAUAAGAUACAACUUUAUUAUGAGUUUUGUAUUUUACAAUUU